GCGCCCAUAGCUCAACUGGAUAGAGCAUCUGACUACGGAUCAGAAGGUUGGGGGUUCGAAUCCUCCUGGGCGUACCA
rnacentral:tRNA from 4 species